rnacentral:lncRNA from 1 species
UUUCCUUCUAUAACCAAGCUUAAAGUUCACCAACAAUUAAGACCAAAUAAAUCCAUCAACACAUUAAUAAAAGAAUUUCAAGGGAAUAAUCUAAAAAAAUAAAAUCUUGUAUAAAUCUUACUCACUUAGAAACAAUUAUUCCUUCUACAAACCUUAGACAUAUACUACAAGCAUACAAAAUUAGAAACAAACCCACUAGAAGCCAAUUCGACUGCAACAUACAAAUUCCAAAUGAAAAUUCAUUUAAAACUAUUUAGAGUCGACUAAGGAACAUAUACAAAGAGGAACAAUGUCAUGGUAACUGGAAGUAUAAACAAUCACUCUUGCAAUAAGUUACCUAUUACUUUUAGUUAAGCAAGGGAUAUGUGAACUCUUCUAUUAUUUCUUCUUCUGUUGGUAGCUUUUGAGCCUCAAACAUUAACUCAACCUUAGGUCUUCCGAUAACCUGCUCAAAAAUAGAAGAGAACAUACAAAAAGUNUAUAUUGAACUAGAAAAUUGGAACACAUGCUCUUGAUCAUAUAUAUUGAAUUUUAUUUAUUAAGAUCAAGCCCAAUAACUACUAAUAGGGAAACACAACUAAACCAACCUAGUUUAGAUGACUAAGCUUCUUCAAUGCAUGUAUGCUCUCCCUUGAAAUAGCUCCUUGGCCAUCUUAGUUAUGAACCCCGUUUGAAAUAUUUUCUGAUCCCUUGCUAUGCUGCAUAUUGUCAACAAAAUAUAUUUAAUAGAUAUAACUGCAUAAAUUUAGUGUACUCUAUUGAAAUGAAUCAACUAUCAAAUGCAGUACUACCAAAAUCAAUCAGCUCAAUAGCACUAGAUAUGUGAAAGUGAAAGGACAAGAAUUGAUUUUCAUCAGCUCAAUCAGUUAAUUUUUACUUAAAUAUAUUACAGUGAAUCCACAAAAGUCGUUAUUUUUGCGUCUGAAAAUGCGAAGUACCCUGCAUUCUGGCUUCAGGUCAGGUGUUGACAAGGCGUAGUUUGUGCAUAUCUAAAGAUGGUAAAGGACAAGAAACAUGUUAAAGUAAGCAGACACGACAAAGAUACAUGACUUCCAGAACAAAGUUAUAUGAUUAUUGUAUCACAAUAAAAACCAUAUCACAUGAAAAUGAACCAUGAUGCAGAAUCAACCAAAAGAAAACUUCCGCAUGAAAACUUUGCAAGAUUUGAGUUUGCAGGAUUUGAUUUCAAUAUUGAUAUGCUACAACUAACAAUUUGAUAAAAUGAGUGGAAGAAAUACUGAUAUAAACAGCGUUUGAAACUCACUUUUUCAAGUAACAGAUCCAACAAAAUGUGUUACAUGUAACUCGAUUAUACUAAUAUUUGCAACUAUGCAUAAAGGGAAAUGCAGUAAAGGAACCAAAAAUCUCCACUACCACUAACCAGUUUUCUAAUUUAAUUUACUAGUUCAACAUAUACAUAAUUUGGCCAAUUAUUAAAGUAACAAGAGAGUACAUUCAAAGGGAAACCAUUACCCACAGGCCACAGUAACUUUCACAAUCAUUCCAGGCAAAACAAAAGAAAAACAAGAAAUGGAAAACUGAGAUAAAGAGAAUAGGUAGAAUUAUAUGACAACUGAUUAUUUUGAUAUAAACUAGAAUUAUAUGACAACUGAUUAUGCUAAAAGAUCCAGUAACAAAAUGGCUAACAAGGCAACAUCUGAAUAAGUGUUAGUCAAACUGAAAACAUACCUUGUGUACAUUGUACAAUCAAGGANNN